CUAAGAAUAUUCCGCAAUGGACGGAAGUCUGACGGAGCGACGCCGCGUGGAUGACGAAGGCCGAAAGGUUGUAAAGUUCUUUUGCUGGGGAAGAAUAACCGCAGGAGGGAAUGCCUGUGGGAUGACAAGAACCGGCGAAUAAGCCCCGGCCAACUACGUGCCAGCAGCCGCGGUAACACGUAGGGGGCGAGCGUUGUUCGGAAUUACUGGGCGUAAAGGGCAUGUAGGCGGCUUGGAAAGCCUGGCGUGAAAGUCUGCAGCUUAACUGCAGGGGUGCGCUGGGAACUGCUGAGCUUGAGUGACGGAGAGGGAGCUGGAAUUCCUGGUGUAGGGGUGAAAUCUGUAGAUACCAGGAAGAACACCGAUGGCGAAGGCAAGCUCCUGGCCGAUGACUGACGCUGAGGUGCGAAAGUGUGGGGAUCAAACAGGAUUAGAUACCCUGGUAGUCCACACAGUCAACGAUGUGCACUAGGUGCUGGGGCGGUAGCUUCGGUGCCGGAGCGAACGUGGUAAGUGCACCGCCUGGGGAGUAUGCUCGCAAGGGUGAAACUUAAAUGAAUUGACGGGGUCAUAGCUGUUUCCU
rnacentral:rRNA from 1 species